rnacentral:rRNA from 1 species
GUGGGGAAUAUUGGACAAUGGGCGAAAGCCUGAUCCAGCCAUGCUGCGUGUGUGAAGAAGGUCUUCGGAUUGUAAAGCACUUUAAGUUGGGAGGAAGGGCAGUAAGUUAAUACCUUGCUGUUUUGACGUUACCGACAGAAUAAGCACCGGCUAACUUCGUGCCAGCAGCCGCGGUAAUACGAAGGGUGCAAGCGUUAAUCGGAAUUACUGGGCGUAAAGCGCGCGUAGGUGGUUUUGUAAGUUGGAGGUGAAAUCCCCGGGCUCAACCUGGGAACUGCCUCCAAAACUGCAUGACUAGAGUACGGUAGAGGGUAGUGGAAUUUCCUGUGUAGCGGUGAAAUGCGUAGAUAUAGGAAGGAACACCAGUGGCGAAGGCGACUACCUGGACUGAUACUGACACUGAGGUGCGAAAGCGUGGGGAGCAAACAGGAUUAGAAACCCCGGUAGUCC